rnacentral:lncRNA from 1 species
GGGGUGCUCAAGAGUUGGGCGUCCCUUAACUUGCCAUGUUUGGAUAAGCCUUGACUAGGUGUUUGACCUAGACAAGGACUCUAUCAUACCUCUCUAUAUAAGAUGAGUUUCUUCAUGAAAUUUUAGAAGAUAGAGAUUUGAGAGACCUUUGUGCCAUCCAAAAAUCAGAGAGAAAUACCUUUGGGUCGUGGAGAUAUAAAAGACGCAAGUUUGGGUGUCUAGAGAGAAAAACGUGAAGAAGAAGAGGGUCUUCUUCUAGGGUUUUUAUUUUCAUAUCUUUCCUCUCUCCAUCUUGAGUUUCCUGAGAGCAUCUCAGAUCUGAAACCCCUCCUUCUACUUUCCAUCUUUGGAAGAGUCCAAAUCAAGAAGAAGGAGGCACCUGAUCAACCAUCAAAGAAGGAUCAGCGCAGUACUAGCAUACUGUGCUGAUUUCCUGAAGCAGGACUUCUGAUCGAGAUUCGUGGGCUCGUGUGGAUGACUCCUAGAGGCCGGACGCGUGUGCGGCUUGCAACAUCAUCCUCAAGCCCAGAUCAGCAAGGUUAGAAUGUCUAACUUGCAAGGUAAUAGAUCUGAUCUAUUGUUUAAUACAUACAUUAGAUGUAGUAUAAAAACAUGUUGAUAUGAUCAACAUGUAGUUCAUGCUAUAUUUAUAUAUUUUAAU